rnacentral:lncRNA from 1 species
UACAUGUAAUGUAAUAUUUUCACAUCGUGGCGUUGCUACUCAAGUAAAAGAUCUGACUACUUCUUUUAUCACCGUGCAUGUGUGUCAAAGCAAGAGCUCCUCUUCUGUCAGUCACCCCGGUGCCCUAAAACUGUCCUAAAUGACUUAAUCUACAGGGCGACAGUACUCCAGAGAGGCUGACUCUCCAACCGUGACCUUCUACGGCUAGAGUUUGCAUAAAUGAACUGGCUUAUGAGACAUGAUGAGACAGAGGGAGAUGCAGCGAGACAAGGCAGAGGU